UGUGUGUGUGUGUGUGUGUGUGUGUGAAAUAAAAUUCUUAGUUGAACUGUUGCUUUUGUAACAGUGAAAAUAGGGAGAUUUGGAGGGUGCAUGCCCCGAUGGAAAGCUUUAUUACAUUGUAUUUGCUUUUGUUUAACCCAGAAAAAGGAAAACAGAAUCAAAGUUGGCCUUACAAACGAGAAAAGUAAAAAUGGGUCUUCACACAUUGGGCCGUGCGGAUAAACUGACAUUCACUCUGACCCCAUGUUGGGUUUGUGGAUUUGACACUUAAAGGUUUUGAAAGUGGGAUUACAUGCUUCUGGUGAGCAUAAGAUUUCUGAUAACAGCUUGCCAUCUCAGUUAUAAAUGAAAUUCAAAAUGUUUUUUGAAGUCUGGCUAAUGCAUAAUUUGACUUCUAAGGUACACACAACAAGGCCAAGAAGACAACUUGAUGGUUUAGUACAUCCUAUAAAAACACAGUCCUUAAUCUUUAAUAUUCCAACUAUAUCUUUCUGUUCUGGCUUUAGAGUCUUUGUUUAUUGAGUCAUACUUUGGGAAUCAUCCUGUUGUGGUGCUGGGAGACAUACAGCAUUAUACAAGCAGUAUGUUUUGGCUGUAUCAUUAGAUCUAAGAAACAAACCUGUUAUUAAUUAUUAAAAAAGAGUUAACUGAAGUGCGGCUUUAAUUUAUAAUUACUGCAUGAACUGACCAGGAAUUACAAUCAGCUUUAUAGAGAAAGGGGCUGUGUGCUAAAAUUCUCUGAGUGUAUUUGCUAUAUAUAACCACCAUUUGUAGAUCAGUAGUAAUUACUCACAUAGGUUUUUUACUCAUUUUAAAUUUGUGCAGUAUUUAUUUAUUUUUGUAUUUUUCUAAUAUAUCUCUGAUUCAUUUUUUUCUUGCUGACCCUUGUGCUGCUGUAACAUGUGAAUUUUCCCAGAGUGGGAUUAAUAAAGUCUGUGUCUAUGCCAAACCUGAAGUUUAAACUCCUUUUAUAAUUUAGCAUUUCUGAUUUGCAGUUAAUACUGUGACAUGUGUAUGUGAUAUGUUUUCACCAUUUGCAAGCCAGAAGAGUGACCGCUCUUGAAGCCUGGUUGUUGCACAAUACUAGUACUACUACUGCUACUACUUUUAGUAUUACUACUACUGCUACUGUCAUGGCCAGGCAGAUCAGCUGCACGCUGAUCAGCACUUUCUAUCUGUUUCUCUGUCUCUUCCUCUCUCUCUCUCCUCUUCUCUCUCCCCGGGGCGGAACUCACUGUGGGUUCACGCCCUCGGCCCACGCCCUCAGGAGAUGAGACACCUGAGUCUCAUUAAGAUGAUCAGCAUUUAAGCCAGGAGGUGACUGCUAUUCAUCGCUGGAUCGUUGUCUACCACGCAGCUCCCUGGAUUUUCCCCCGUGUGAUUCCCGAGUGGCGAGUGUUGGAGUGAGAACCUGCGAUUGUGUGUGUGUGUAUUAUCUGAAGAACGCGUGCUUUUCCUCUGGACUUCCCUGGAGCCCCUUUUCCCCUCACUCAGCUGUUCAUAGCACUCCCCCCGCACCUUCUUGUAUAUACACCUGGUGAAUUGUAAAUAAAUCUUUCUUGUGUGCAUCUGAGCCCGGAGUCCUGCGCUUGAGUCCUCCUCUAAACCGUAACAGCUACUGCUGCUGAUCAAGGGCCUCAGAGGGCCAUAUGCCAGCAAGGGUUAGAAGUCAGACACCUUGGGCCUGCAGGUUGGAAGUUGGAAGUUAACAACGCCGCCUUGUAAAAGAUUCUAACAUCCAGGUGCUACAUGGUGUUGCGGCUGAUAAAGAGCCAUAAACUAACCCCAUUGUUUAGAAGUGAUUACCAGUUUGCUGCACUGUAAAACCUAAUAAGUUCACAGAACUCAAAAGUUGUUGUGUAACAGAUUACACAACAAUUUUUUAGUGAUGUUUUUAAAAGUUUUAAGUUUAACUAAAAUAAAAAUUACAUUUGCAGUUGCCUUAAAUGAUCUCAAUGUUAACUUAUAAAUGCUGACAUUCCUCAACUUAUAAUUAGGGAGUAAUAAACUCAAUUUUUCAACUUAAUUGAGGUGGGAAAUACACUCAAAAAUGUUUAAAUAUUGCAACUUAUACACUGUGGGAAAUAAACUCAAACUUUUUGAUAUUUUUUAACCUAUAAUGUGGGAAAUGACACUUAAAAUUUUCAAUAUUUUAAAAUCCUGUGGGAAAUACGCUUAAAAAUAAUUCUAAACUGCCCAGUAAAUUACAAUCAGCUAAAAGUGUUAGAAAACAUGAAAACGACAACACUGACUCCAAGGGUCUCCAUCUCAAUUCUAAAAUUCAAUAACAUUUUCAGUAUUAACAGUAAUUACAGCUAUUAGAACAUUAAGGCAUUUAACACUUAGUGUACCUUGACAGCUGCAGUCACUUUCUUGUUUUAAAUACAUAAACAAAAAGUACUGGUUUUCACUGCCAUACUUCAUAGGGAACAAACAUUAAGGCAGUGCAUCAGGGUGUUAGGCAACAGAACAUUAAACAUGAAUCCAUGAGUCCACGAAAUGAGCAGUCAUUCACCUUAAAUUUGAAGUAGAAGAGCCAAAUGAUUAGGAAAAAAA